UACGGAGGGUGCAAGCGUUAUCCGGAUUCACUGGGUUUAAAGGGUGCGUAGGCGGGCAGGUAAGUCCGUGGUGAAAUCUCUGAGCUUAACUCAGAAACUGCCAUGGAUACUAUUUGUCUUGGAUAUUGUGGAGGCAAGCGGAAUAUGUCAUGUAGCGGUGAAAUGCUUAGAUAUGACAUAGAACACCCAUUGCGAAGGCAGCUUGCUACACAAUGAUUGACGCUGAGGCACGAAAGCGUGGGGAUCAAACAGG
rnacentral:rRNA from 1 species